UACGUAGGGUGCAAGCGUUGUCCGGAAUUAUUGGGCGUAAAGAGCUCGUAGGCGGUCUGUCGCGUCGGAUGUGAAAAUCCAGGGCUCAACCCUGGACCUGCAUUCGAUACGGGCAGACUAGAGUUCGGCAGGGGAGACUGGAAUUCCUGGUGUAGCGGUGAAAUGCGCAGAUAUCAGGAGGAACACCAAUGGCGAAGGCAGCUCGCUGGGACGGUACUGACGCUGAGACACGAAAGCCAGGGGAGCGAACGGG
rnacentral:rRNA from 1 species